GUUCUAUUGAGUAAGCGCAUAAACUCUUCUCUGGGUUUUAAAAAUCUGUCCACCACUCUUAUUUUGUCCUUCAUAAGUUCUUUGGCCAACUUGAUUUUCAGCAUUUAGUGGGCAGCUAGCAAUUUUAUGAUCCAUCUGAUCACAUUUGAAACAAGCACCUGCAUGAUUUUUGCCACAUCUGGAGCACCGCUCACCAUCAAUCUGUUGAGUCUUAUUAUCUAUUGCUUCCUUAGCUGAACUUUUGAUGUUUUUAUUAUUCUGCCCUUGUGUAUCAUUUGAUUUUGCUCUCUUUCUUUGCUUUCUUUCUCUUUCCGUGCGUUCUUCAUUGACUUUUCUUUCAAUUAUCAGUACUUUGUUUACC
rnacentral:lncRNA from 1 species